rnacentral:rRNA from 1 species
AUUGAACGCUGGCGGCAUGCCUUACACAUGCAAGUCGAACGGUAACAGGUCUUCGGAUGCUGACGAGUGGCGAACGGGUGAGUAAUAUAUCGGAACGUGCCCAAGAGUGGGGGAUAACGUAGCGAAAGUUACGCUAAUACCGCAUGCGAUCUACGGAUGAAAGCGGGGGAUCGCAAGACCUCGCGCGAUUGGAGCGGCUG